AUUCGUAGACUCGUACACUUCAUUGUCCAUACAAAUUGUGUUACAUAUGUCGAAAUCAAAUUUAAUUUACAUACAUUGACGUUUUCAAAUCCAUCUUUUAUCUUCGAAGAACAUCAUAUUUGCACUCGGUACUGACCAAUUCUGUGUGUGGCCGCUUAGCCAGCCAACCAACAAUAGCCGGUAUUUCAUGAACCCUUUUCUUCAACGCUCGAAGACCUGGAUAAUUUUCUAAAGCCGUCGCACCAAAAAUAUUCUCGAAAUUUUCAAGGGCCACUGCAAACACGAAGUCCGCCCACGUCGUCUGAAAAACGGCACGGAUUGACUGGGUCUUUGAUGAGAACGUCGGCUAUUAUAGCCGAUAAAUUUUCAUUAUCCCUCGUGUCAUCAAUUUCGCGGCACGGAAAUUCAUCGUUGCUCGAGCCACGCGAAAAAUAUCCAGGCCAAAGGAAAGGAACGAACGAGAGAGAGAGAGAGAGAAAGAUGGGGGAGGGGAAAAUGGAGGAAGAAAAAUGCGAGAGAAAUAAAAGGGAGGAGGCCGAAAAGAGAGCUGUUCGUAUUAGGUCGGUGAGAUAAUAUUUUUAAUAUGUUAUUAUUCAUGACAAGUACCGUUUUACUAUUACGUUAUGAGAUGCAAAUGGUGGAUAGAAAUGACAGGGGAUGAAUGGGAUUAUAUCAUUGAGCAGAACAUUUUGAUAAGGUACGACAAGAAGUAUUUAUAACUUCCAGGACUAAAUGAAAAUACAGUAAUGCAUGGAAAAGAUAAAAUGAUGAACAUUGUAUUUUUCUGAUUGUACCUUAGAAGUUUGAACAGUGUUUGUGAUUUUUUAAGAUGACCAAUAUCCAUCCCAUUCAGAAUACGUAAUCGACAUAUACAAUCCAAAAUUCUUUCUAAAAACUAAAUGCAAGCACAAACACUUACGUCCAUUUCACCAUCAAAAAUGUCAAACUUCGGAUGAAAAUCCUUUCCACAAAUGAAACACAAGCGAGGAAUUGAAGCUUUCAUUUCACUUUCUAAUCCUAAACUUCACUCUUCAUUCACUGCCAGAGCAACAAGUUCAGAGGAUCCAUUCGUACCACGAAACAGUAGAAAGCAGGCAGAAAAGACCGGACACAAAGUGGAACAAAGGACACGUAUAAAUUAGAAUAUAUCCAUUUUGCUACGAUUACUGUCACGAUUACUGCACAGAAAAUAAUCGAUUCAAAUUGACCAGCAGUCUCCUCGUAUAAAAAUUGCUGCAGUGAAUCAGAUCAAAUAAAAAAGUAUCAAACAAAGCAAAGGAAAGAACCGAAGACGCACAAAAAUCAGAAUAAAUUCUAUAAUUAUUCGAUAGACAAUGAUCGAGCGAAACUCAACGUCGAUGGUCUUGCGUAUAAAUCCAAUAAAAGAUGGACGAUGCAAAUUUAUCAGCAGUAUCCUCGCAUAAAAAUUCCUCACCCCUUCGACCAACUACAUCUAGCGUCACGAUGAUUCCAUGGAAGAUGUGGUCGAUUUAAACUCACCGCCAGUGUCCUCGCGCGGAUAUUCCACCACCCUUUCGAGCAGGUUGGACGAACACUCGUACGGAGCGCGGCUCGCACUGAG